AAUAGGUUUGCAAAGUGAAAAAGCCCAAAGUCCACCUCAAAAGGAGUUACCCUCUCCCACAGAAAACACUGAUCCUGAACUGACUGAAAACAGCUCAGUUGUAGCCUUUACUUCUGUAACAUAUCUACGUCAUUAUGUAACACGUGUCAUAAUGCACACCUUGUGGGUAGUGUGGCACGCCCUCAAACCCACCUACUUAGACCAGAAGCCGGAAGAAUUCAGUUUGUGGUAUCGCCAUGUCUAGGGGAAAUUUCCUUUGUAUUGUCUUCCAAAGGAUGAUGAAUUGAAUUGAAUUUUUUUUAACACUUUUCCUCAGGACUACAACCCCAACCUUUUUUUGUGCUCACUUCAUUUUACCAAGGGCUGCUAUGUGAACCGGCAACAGUUCGAUUCAAGAUUUUCUAAAUGCUUACUCCUGAAAGACGAUGCAGUUCCGACUCUGUUUGGCCAAUCUGGAGAUUCAGAAUCACAACCUGAAUAUUUUGGAGGCAUACUUGGAAAGAUAUAGAAAACUUCUGCUGGGCCAACACACAGAGAGCUCUCCAAAUCCCUGUGACCUCUACUGCUACAUGGGGCUAAAGGUUUAAAGAGAACUGGAGAUAAUUUGAUCUGAGAGUGGUUCACCUGGGGGAGCUGGCUGUUCUGACUGUAGGAGGAUUUGGGACUGGCUCUAAGGCAAGUUCAGCAGAACACACAAACUCUUAUUAAACUUCCUGUUUUCACCAAGUGAGAGCACGCACAUGCAUGUGCUGGCACACACAGACACACACACACACACAAAUGUAGCAUUUAACUGGCCGCAAUCAUUGCUUGGCUGUAACAUAAAGCCCCCUGCUCAUACUUCAAGGUCAAAUGAGUAAACAAGGAAUAUCUAUCACAUAAACAACAUGGACAUGAUGGGUUCUUGAUCAGACCAUUUUCUUAUCAAUUUAGUUACCA